UCUCCUUCAUCUAGGUCAGCAAAAGAAAAGAAAAAAAAUCCCGAUCUCACAAGUCAAGUCGUCCCUUGCGGCGACCCCCCGUUUCUCUCUUCUCUCGAUGGGGGAACCGUUCCUGUAGAACCCUACCUCCAUCUAUGUAACAGUUGCAGUGGUGGAUAGUGGGAGCAGAGCAAAUGGGGAGGAAGAGAUAGAUGAAUCAUUCUCCAGAUAUUCGCCAUCGGCACGUCUAACCACAUAGACGUAUGUACGUACGCACAGCCUCAGCACUUCCACCACGUCCCGGUUGAAUCUACUCCCUUGGACGAACCUCUUGGCAAGAAUAGGGGCUUGCUCAAAAAGAUAGGCAUGAGGAGUGCCUCUUCAAGUUUUUGAGAGCAAAUUGUGCAGUGGUGCCAUCGUAUGAAUCGGUAAUCUGAAACAACACAUCCACCUCUUCUAACAUCGCCGUUGUCGACAAGAUGGUGGUGCGGUCCCAUCGACUGAUUAGUGCACAUACUCAUUAACGUGGUGUCCGCUAUGGGACUUGCUGCAUCACUAGCUUUGCACCUCGAUCCAGAUUGCUUUGGUGCAAAGGCUGUCAUGUUUCCUCUUAUGCAGGAAUAAAAAAGCACACGAGAAGACUUGAUCCAAAAGGCUCUUAGUCUAUGGCUAAUACUCCUUCCAUGCAAGCUGUCAAACAACUUUCUUUUGUCUUGAAAACUGUAAAAAGAAAGUGGUAACAGAUUUGUUAAAUUAAGUAGGAGAGAUCCUCCUCGACAAAUAAUAUUGUGUAUAUGAUCCUUUCUCAACAUGUAAACAAGCAAUGUAUUGUGCUCUUUGCUGACAAAAUCUGUUGUACUUUUAUUGGAAGGCUCGCAUGUUCUUAAACCAUGUGUUAUGCUUGGUUCAAAUUGCUGCUGGGAGUGCUGCAUGUUAAACGUGCAGUUUUGUCAAGUUCUGGUAAUGCACUUACUUAAUUGCUAUACAGGUGGACCACGAUCUGCUACCCUCUUCGUCGAUGAUCAUGUGCACAGAACAGAACACAUUUAGACUGUCAAACAAUUGACAAUGAUGAUCUCUGUCAACUACUAAAAUAUUGAUAGUUUCUAUCAUAAAUCUGAAUAUCCAUCUUUUGCGGGCAAAUUUUUGUAGUAGCAAAGGCACGUGAGGACUACUAAUGCAUUGAGUGUGGUUCCUGCUGCACUUUCAUUUUCCCGUCAGUUGUGUGAAAACUACUGAAGUUCAAUUCAUUUACCAUCCUCUGGUGAUGUAAGAGAAAUUUAUAUUCUAAGUGAAAAUUUUAACAAUAAUGUUUCUAAUCAAGAUUUGACUGUUUAGGUAACUUACAUUGCAUAAUGACUAUUCUACAUUGAUGUCAGUUUUUAUAUAGUUUUUUGCUUAUUUAGUUGUAGUGGAUCUUGGAUCAACUUCGUACAUGUCCUAUAUAAUUCCGUUGUAAAGGAGAAUCUGGCAGCAAGAUGGUCACGCCACUGCUCCAAAUCUCUAUUUUAUUCAUGUUUUCAUCCAACUGUAUUGUCUAUCUAUUUUCUUUAAUACCUAUUAUUUGUAUAAUUCUUAUAUGUUAAAUUAGCCAUAAUAUAUUUUAACUUUUUUUAGAGGAAUGUUUACUACCCAACAGUGUACUAUGUAACACAUGCAAAUCCAGAUUGAUCCGAAUUGCAUAAUUUGAAAUUGGAGUAGAUUUAAUGCAAUCGAUGAACCAUUUUCCACUGUUUAAUUUACUCUUUGUUAAGGAGAUACAGAAACUAAUAGCAUUGGUUGACUAUUCUUAAAGUCAGUGUGAUGUAGGUCAAACCUUCUACAAACCUGUCGAAGAAGAUGAGGCUUCUCCAUUGUGUAUGUGUGAACUGUGAUGCAUUCGGUUCUGUACAGUGGCGUAAAUAUCUGAUGCAGAGAAUAGUGUUUUCCAUUUAAUCUUUGAGCAGUAGCGUCCAUGUUGUAGCGUCACAUUCAAAUUUAUUAAUGAUUAAUUAUUAGGGCAUAAUAUCUCUUGCUCAUCUCUGUACACUAAACCUAAGACAUGCAUUUCACGGUCAUUAUUACCAGUCGUUGAUAUUAGUUUCAAGGUAUUUGGCGCUCGA